AUUGAACGCUGGCGGCGUGCUUAACACAUGCAAGUCGAGCGGUAACAGGCGUAGCAAUACGUGCUGACGAGCGGCGAACGGGUGCGUAAUACAUCGGAAUCUGCCUAGUAGUGGGGAAUAACCCGGCGAAAGCCGGGCUAAUGCCGCAUACGAUCCACGGAUGAAAGCGGGGGACUUUCGGGCCUCGCGCUAUUAGAUGAGCCGAUGUCGGAUUAGCUAGUUGGNGAGGUAACGGCUCACCAGGGCGACGAUCCGUAGCUGGUCUGAGAGGACGGCCAGCCACACUGGGACUGAGACACGGCCCAGACUCCUACGGGAGGCAGCAGUGGGGAAUAUUGGACAAUGGGGAACCCUGAUCCAGCGACGCCGCGUGUGUGAAGAAGGCCUGC
rnacentral:rRNA from 1 species